rnacentral:rRNA from 1 species
UACGAAGGGGGCUAGCGUUGCUCGGAAUUACUGGGCGUAAAGGGCGCGUAGGCGGACAUUUAAGUUAGAGGUGAAAGCCCAGGGCUCAACCCUGGAAUAGCCUUUAAUACUGGAUGUCUUGAGUUCGGGAGAGGUGAGUGGAACUCCGAGUGUAGAGGUGAAAUUCGUAGAUAUUAGGAAGAACACCAGUGGCGAAGGCGGCCCACUGGAUCGGUACUGACGCUGAGGUGCGAAAGCGUGGGGAGCAAACAGG